AGAGUUUGAUCCUGGCUCAGAUUGAACGCUGGCGGCAGGCUUAACACAUGCAAGUCGAGCGGAAACGAUGGUAGCUUGCUACCAGGCGUCGAGCGGCGGACGGGUGAGUAAUACUUAGGGAUCUACCUAGUAGUGGGGGAUAGCACGGGGAAACUCGUAUUAAUACCGCAUACGACCUACGGGAGAAAGGGGGCAGUUUACUGCUCUUGCUAUUAGAUGAGCCUAAGUCGGAUUAGCUAGAUGGUGGGGUAAAGGCCUACCAUGGCGACGAUCUGUAGCUGGUCUGAGAGGAUGAUCAGCCACACCGGAACUGAGACACGGUCCGGACUCCUACGGGAGGCAGCAGUGGGGAAUAUUGGACAAUGGGGGCAACCCUGAUCCAGCCAUGCCGCGUGUGUGAAGAAGGCCUUUUGGUUGUAAAGCACUUUAAGCAGUGAAGAAGACUCCGUGGUUAAUACCCACGGACGAUGACAUUAGCUGCAGAAUAAGCACCGGCUAACUCUGUGCCAGCAGCCGCGGUAAUACAGAGGGUGCAAGCGUUAAUCGGAAUUACUGGGCGUAAAGCGAGCGUAGGUGGCUUGAUAAGUCAGAUGUGAAAUCCCCGGGCUUAACCUGGGAACUGCAUCUGAUACUGUUAGGCUAGAGUAGGUGAGAGGAAGGUAGAAUUCCAGGUGUAGCGGUGAAAUGCGUAGAGAUCUGGAGGAAUACCGAUGGCGAAAGCAGCCUUCUGGCAUCAUACUGACACUGAGGCUCGAAAGCGUGGGUAGCAAACAGGAUUAGAUACCCUGUAGUCCACGCCGUAAACGAUGUCUACUAGUCGUUGGGUCCCUUGAGGACUUAGUGACGCAGCUAACGCAAUAAGUAGACCGCCUGGGGAGUACGGCCGCAAGGUUAAAACUCAAAGGAAUUGACGGG
rnacentral:rRNA from 1 species